ACGCCCGGCUAAUUUUUUGUAUUUUUAGUAGAGACGGGGUUCCACCGUAUUAGCCAGGAUGGUCUUGAUCUUCUGACCUCGUGAUCCGCCUGCCUCGGCCUCCCAAAGCGCUGGGAUUACAGGCAUGAGCCACCACGCCCAGCCUAGAAACCCCAUCUCUACUGAAAAUACAAAAUUAGUCGGGCAUGAUGGCACACGCCUGUAAUCUCAGCUACCCAGGAGGCUGAGGCAGGAUAAUCGCUUGAAUCCGGGAGGCGGAGGAUGCAGUGAGUUGAGAUCACAUCAUUGCACUCCAGCCUGGGCAACAAGAGCACAACUCCGUUUCAAAAAAAAAAAAAAAAAAAAAAAAAAAAAGGUUGACUUGAUAUUUCUGAAUGAGGUUGAGUAGACAGUAGUGGUGCCACUCACCAACAUAGAGAAUAUGCUGGAGAGAACUGCAGGUUUUGAAGAUGUGUUGGAUAUUCUAUUGGGUUGACUUUGAGCUGUCUGAAGAUAUCCAGUUAGCAGCCGGAUAACUAGACUGGAGCUUAGCAUAGCAAAGAGAUCUGGGGCUAGAAACUAAGGCUCAAAGACAACAGGGUAGCAGGGGGAUGGAAGACUUGGAUUGGGAGGAGGCCUUCCAGGAAAGGUAUAUAAAGAAGACCAGCAGGUUGGCCUGGUGCAGUAGCUUACACCUGUAAUCCCAGCACUUUGGGAGGAUGAGGCGGGCAGAUCACUUGAAGUCAAGAGUUGAAGACCAGCCUGGCUAACAUGGUGAAGCUCUGUCUCCACUAAAAACACAAAUAAGCUGGGCAUGGUGGUGCACACCUGUAAUCCCAGCUAUUCAGGAGGCUGAGGCAGAAGGAUCAUUUGAACCCGGGGGGCAGAGGUUGCAGUGAGCUGAGAUGGCACCACUGAACUCCAGCCUGGGUGACAGAAUGAGACUCCAUCCAUCUCAAAAAAGAAGAAGAAGAAGGAGAAGGAGAAGAGAAGAAGAGGAAGAAGAAGGGCAGAAGGUCAAAAUCAGAGUUUUGGGGAACACCUGGACUUACAAGCUUCUGGAGGUAGAGAGGCCUAAGAGAGAGCUACAAGACAGGUAAGAGGACAAUCAAGAAAGAGACUUUCCAGGAAGGAGAUCAGACUUCAUGGAGAAGUCAGUAAGGUAAGGUAAGAACGAACAAAGGGGUCUGUUGUAGCCCUUCCUCUGCACAAUGUCUGGGGUGGGAGUUGGGAAGGUAACAAAAAGCUCAAUUGCAGUGGGUUGGAGGAUAAACUGGAAGUGGGGAAGGAGAGAAGUGGGUGUGGACUGCUCUUUCUUGGUUCUGGAGGGAGCAGGUGACGGUCGCUAUAGGAGCAGAGGCCUGAAGAUACUGAGGGAUAGAGCCAGUGGAUCAUAAUGUGGCUGGGCAAGGGGCAGGUGAAUGAAUGCUACAGUAGAUCGUGAAAGUGCAGACAGGAGGGAUCCCAAGCUUAGCCUUGGCCAGCAGUAAGGACACCUUAUCUUCUGGGAAAGAAAGGAAAGAGGAAAGGGUAAGGGCAGAUAAAUAUGUUUCUGAGUGGUGGUGGAAUAAAGUGAUUAUCACCUAGAGACCUUGACCUCAUUCAGUUGGAGGCAGAGUGGUCUGCUGAGUGAGGGGAAAGCCAAUGGGUCAUGAACUUGAAAAGAAUAAAGACAGCUUGGAGAGGGCUUCAAGAAGAACAGGAGAGUGAGCUGACCAAGAACUUAAGGAAGGGCUGCCGAACAAUGUUGAGUUCCUGAUUUGUCAGAAACUGAAUUUGCAGGGGCACUGCAAGCUGGUUGUGAUUUUUUUUUUCUUUUAAAAAAAGGAUCACUUAGCAGCCCAAAUGUAGAAAGGGAGAGUUUACAUGGUUGGGCUGUGUAGGCUACAAUGGAAGGACGGGAUGUGGGUCCAGAGGCCAGUGUCAAACAGGAUGGAGACAAAGUAGUUGGCAUCCAUGUUGAGUAAGCAUUGAAGGUGCAUUGGUGGCUGCAGGAUUAGAAGCAGAGAAAGAUUGGGAGCUGAGCUAGACAUGCAGUGACCUGAGCUGCGCAGAUGCAGCAAAGGAGGAGAAGACACAAUGAGCACAUGGCAUGAGCCUUAAAGAAUUUGGG
rnacentral:lncRNA from 10 species